AGCUCCUGUACAUGGGUCCCAGAAGGAGGUAGACACCAAGAGCAACAGAUGAGAAAAACGAUGGGGAGCCUAAAGAGCAAGCGAGGAGGGAAGGGAAGCUGCAGCCCUUGGUGCCUGGCUGAGGAUGCUGCAUGGCUGCUUACGACCCCUGGACUAAGUCAGCAGGAGGCCAGUGGAUCACCUUUGGGAUGGUGCAGCUCUGUUUGGGACCCUGGGGCAGCUUCACCAAGGUGCACCACUAUCCUCCUAGCUGAGCAGCACCCCAACCCGUGGAAGGAAAAUAGAGCUCCGUCCUGAGGAAAACCUUCUCUCCAAGAAUCAAGCUCUUUCUCCUCCUGGACCUCCCAGUGCUUAUCCAAGGGCCCAGGGCCCAGGUGAGGGAUAUUUUGAGUCCUGUGGGACCAUCAGCAUCUAACUGCUGCAUGGAUGGAUGCUCCUGUGCCAUGGCACUGCUAACGAGCUGGCAACCUGUUUGAUCACUGCUGUGACCAGAAGGCACUGACUGUCCCUGCAGAGAAGAUGAAGAAGCUUAUUGCUGGCUCCUGCAGUGCUGCCUUCAGCCUGGGGACAGCCAAGAAGAACAGCAGAUAUUUCUCCCCUCCCUGCCCCAUGAACAGUGGCAGAUCUUUAACAGAGUUGUGGGGAGAACACAGCUGGGGAACUCACCCUUCUAACCCCUCAGCAGAUGUAAUUUUAUUUUUAAUGAGAUUUUGGCUCUGCCCGGCGGGUACCUUUUUGAUCAUGGGGUUUUCACAGCAAGUGAGCCUUGGGGACUUGAGUUACUGAAUCCUCCCGGGGACUUUCCUGUCUUGGAGGCUCUAAGCUGGGCUUUUCCCUAAAAACACAGCCAUGAGUGAACAUAGGUUUUCCUCCAUCACUACUUUGAGUGGCAUCACCAUCUCUGCAUUUCUCCUGCCUUCGGCUCGAGCCCUGAGCCCCCAGCAAGAGCUAACAGGAUCACAUUACUACCUGUGG